UACGUAGGGGGCUAGCGUUGUCCGGAUUCAUUGGGCGUAAAGCGCACGCAGGCGGCUUGGUAAGUCAUCGGUGAAAUCCCCCGGCUCAACCGGGGGGGGUCCGGCGAAACUGCCAGGCUUGAGGUCGGGAGGGGGAAGCGGAAUUCCGGGUGUAGUGGUGAAAUUCGUAGAUAUUCGGAAGAACACCAGUGGCGAAGGCGACUAACUGGACAUGUAUUGACGCUGAGGUGCGAAAGCGUGGGGAGCAAACAGG
rnacentral:rRNA from 1 species